rnacentral:rRNA from 1 species
CCUACGGGCGUCAGCAGUGAGGAAUAUUGGUCAAUGGACGCAAGUCUGAACCAGCCAAGUAGCGUGCAGGAUGACGGCCCUCCGGGUUGUAAACUGCUUUUAGUUGGGAAUAAAAGGGGGCUCGUGAGCCCCGUAUUGUAUGUACCAUCAGAAAAAGCAUCGGCUAACUCCGUGCCAGCAGCCGCGGUAAUACGGAGGAUGCGAGCGUUAUCCGGAUUUAUUGGGUUUAAAGGGUGCGCAGGCGGAGGUGCAAGUCAGCGGGCAAAUUGCGGGGCUCAACCCCGUACUGCCGUUGAAACUGCAUCCCUUGAGUGCGCGAGAAGUAUGCGGAAUGCGUGGUGUAGCGGGGAAAUGCAUAGAUAUCACGCAGAACUCCGAUUGCGAAGGCAGCAUACCGGCGCGCAACUGACGCUCAUGCACGAAAGCGUGGGUAUCGAACAGGAUUAGAUACCCUAGUAGUC